rnacentral:tRNA from 1 species
UCUGGGAUCAUGGCUCAGUGGUAGAGUGCUUGCCUCACAUGUGUGAGGCACUGGGUUUGAUUCUCAGCCUCGAA